rnacentral:lncRNA from 1 species
AAAUUUUUUGUAUACAUUUUCUAUGAAUAGUGAUCAUAGAAGGCCCAAUUUAUUCGGCUUUAAUCGAAAAUGACAAAAUCUAGUGGAUUGUGGCAUGAAAAUCAAAUCUCUACUAAUUCCGUCCAUCUCCAUUUGCUAAUAUGGAUACUAAAAAAUGACAUAUAGACAUUAAAAGCUUACGUGAAUUAGCUAACAUAACAUAAUUAUAAUUUUACAAAAUAAAAUAUUUAUUUAACUAUUAAAACUCAAUAAAUAAAACUAAAAAAAAAUCAUCGUCUUCCACGACAUCCCAUCUUCUUUGGCCUCCGUUGGAGAAAUCGAUUCACCGGUUAUUAUAAUUACCAUCGCUCCUUGCAUACGUCAAACUUCUAUGAAGGCGAUACCUAAAUUUCCGCUCCCAAGUUCAUUGCCAUUCAACCAUCGUUUAGAUUCCUAGGCUCACUGGCGAUAAGAUCUAAACUCCAGAAACUUUGAUUCAGAAUCGAAGGUGAUUGAAAUCGAUGAGACAAGUGAAAGGGAAGGCACUUAACAGACCUGCAAGACUUACAAUUCCAUCGAUAAUUCCCCAGGCUCCCAAGUUCACCGGAGAAUAAUGGUGAUCGAUGAUGACGAGGAAGUGGCGGUGAUGAACAAUCUAAGACCCAGGAAUUACGCUUUCUAGGAUUUAAGGGUUCUUUUUUUUGGGAUUAAUUGUAACUUAUUGUUUUUCGUUUUUUCUAGUUACGUAAACUUUUUUGGAUUUUUUUAAUUAAAAAAUAUUAUUAAAUUAUGAUGUGGAGCCUCUAUGGAUGACAAAUCGGACGACACAUUAUCGG